UGAUGACAAAUCUCCGGAAUCCCUGUAUUUACUUGAUGAAUACUUGAACCCAUUAAUCUGAUACUGACUGCAUAUUUCCUGUCAUC
ensembl:snoRNA SNORD68 small nucleolar RNA MBII-202